UACGUAGGGUGCAAGCGUUAAUCGGAAUUACUGGGCGUAAAGCGUGCGCAGGCGGUUUUGUAAGUUUGUCGUGAAAGCCCCGGGCUCAACCUGGGAACGGCAUUUGGGACUGUCGGGCUAGAGUUCGGGAGAGGUGGGUGGAAUUCCCAGUGUAGAGGUGAAAUUCGUAGAUAUUGGGAAGAACACCGGUGGCGAAGGCGGCUCACUGGACCGAGACUGACGCUGAGACGCGAAAGCGUGGGGAGCGAACAGGG
rnacentral:rRNA from 1 species